rnacentral:rRNA from 1 species
UACAGAGGGUGCGAGCGUUGUUCGGAAUUACUGGGCGUAAAGCGCGCGCAGGCGGCUCUUUAAGUCUACCCGUGAAAUGCCGGAGCUCAACUCCGUGCACGCCGGGGGAUACUGGAGAGCUGGAGACGAGUAGAGGCAAGCGGAAUUCCGGGUGUAGCGGUGGAAUGCGUAGAGAUCCGGAAGAACACCGGAGGCGAAGGCGGCUUGCUGGGCUUGGCCUGACGCUGAGGCGCGAAAGCGUGGGGAGCAAACAGG